GGGAGAUGCUCGUACUGAUGGGGAUGAGCUUGGGUUGGGGGUAGACAUGGAGCAGCACCAAGGAGGCGGCGCCGGAGUCUCUGGGGAACUUGUGCAGCGCCCACAGCACCAUGGCCUUGGAGUCGGCCCCGGCCCCCACCGCCACGUACACCUUCUUCAUCUUCUCGCCAGACUCGGAGGAGGACUGCUCCGGCUCCGGCGAGUCGCAGGCCGCGUCCAUGGCGGAUAGAUAGAGUAAGGAAUUGCCCAACAGUGCCACUGCAAUUUCCAUGGCAUGGCAUGGCAUCGACAUGGCAGGAGCUACCUGCUCAACAGUGCUUGCCUUUCUCAUGGACGACUGAAUGACUUAUACAAGACCUCUCUGCUCCGUAUAGCUGCUAAUUAAACUCCUCUCUGCUUCCCUCCUCUAUGAAAAACGUUGGUGGCUUGCAUUUAUCGUCUGGACAGUUCAUCAUAGCUUGCAGGAUACCCCAGGCUUCAUUUGCAAGAUUAGGCCGUUCCUUCCGUUCAUACCGGCAACAUCUGAGUGCUAAUCUUGCCAACUCUUCAGUGUAUUCAGUUGGCCAUUCCCCUGCAGAAGUAUCAAUUAUAUCUUGCAACAUGUCAUUGCUCAAGGCUGCCUCCACCUCAUUCGGA